CGCCUGCCCUGUGACAAAGGUUCAACGGCCGCGGUAUUUUGACCGUGCAAAGGUAGCGCAAUCACUUGUCCUUUAAAUGAAGACCUGUAUGAAUGGCAUCACGAGGGCUUAACUGUCUCCUUUUUCCAGUCAAUGAAAUUGAUCCCCCCGUGCAGAAGCGAGGAUAAAACCAUAAGACGAGAAGACCCUAUGAAGCUUUAGACACAAGACAGACCUUGUUAAACACUUCAAAAUAAAGAAAUAAACUAAAAGAAUGCUGUUCCGAUGUCUUUGGUUGGGGCGACCACGGGGAAACAAAAAACCCCCAUGCGGAUUGAGAAAACAAUUCUCACAACCAAGAGCCGCAGCUCUAGUUAACAGAACUUCUGACCUUUAGAUCCGGCAAUGCCGAUCCACGGACCGAGUUACUCUAGGGAUAACAGCGCAAUCCCCUUUUAGAGCUCCUAUCGACAAGGGGGUUUACGACCUCGAUGUUGGAUCAGGACAUCCUAAUGGUGCAGCAGUUAUUAAGGGUU
rnacentral:rRNA from 1 species